UAUGGCCAUACCACCCUGAACGCGGCCGAUCUCAUCUGAUCUUGGAAGCUAAGCAGGGUAGGGCCUGGCUAGUACUUUGAUGAAUGUUAAUUUUAAAAUACUCAAAAAAAUUCACAC
ensembl:rRNA 5S_rRNA 5S ribosomal RNA